UAUCCAUCUGGGAUGGUCCACAUCUCUUCUCCUCAUGGGACUUGUGGCUUUGUGAGGAGCAGGGCAGGGGAACUCAUACAAAUAUAAAGCCCAUGCUGCCUGCUGUGCUGCCUACUCACUCUGAAGACAACCAGGACAAAGACCUUGAUGAUGACACUUCCACUUAAUGCAUAGUCCUCUCAGUCACUGGAGUGAUGACAGGAUUCAGUGGAACCAUCUGGAUGAGAUGAACUCUGGAGGAUUUGCUCUCAGGAAUGGCGGCAUUGGCUGUUAGUCACAUGCCUCUUCUUGCUUACAUUGUGAUUCUGGGACUAACCACAGACCACAAAUCCAAAACCAUCCUCUUCUCCUGGUGCCUGAAACUUGACAUCACUUCUCCAUUGCCAAACAUAGAGUCUUGGAUCCUACUGAAAGAGACGGGAUUUCAUCAUGUUGGGCAGGCUGGUCUAGCUGACAGUUUCACAGCAAACUAAUGAGAGAUCCUGAGCCAGAACCACCUGGGCAUCUCAAUGUGAAGAUGAUGAGGAUGAAGACUUUUAUGAUGAUCCACUUCCACCUAAUGAACAGUAAAUAAAUUUUCUCUUUCUUAUGGUUUUCUUAAUAAU
rnacentral:lncRNA from 13 species